GAGUUUGAUCUUGGCUCAGAUUGAACGCUGGCGGCAUGCCUUACACAUGCAAGUCGAACGGCAGCAUGAUCUAGCUUGCUAGAUUGAUGGCGAGUGGCGAACGGGUGAGUAAUACAUCGGAACGUGCCCUGUAGUGGGGGAUAACUAAUCGAAGAUUAGCUAAUUACCGCAUACGACCUGAGGGUGAAAGUGGGGGACCGGCAAGGCCGUCAUGCUAUAGGAGCGGCCGAUGUCUGAUUAGCUAGUUGGUGGGUAAAGGCCCACCAAGGCGACGAUCAGUAGCUGGUCUGGAGAGGACGAUCAGCCACACUGGGGACUGAGACACGGGCCCAGACUCCUACGGGAGGCAGCAGUGGGGAAUUUGGACAAUGGGCGAAAGCCUGAUCCAGCAAAUGCCGCGUGUGUGAAGAGGCCUGGUGUAAG
rnacentral:rRNA from 1 species